rnacentral:lncRNA from 1 species
GAGCGAACGAAUGAAUGGAUAAAGCAUCAUUGAUACCAAUUGAAAGAUUGAACUUUGUAAUUCUAUAGGUUUUGUUAUAAGUUGAGAUCAUUAUCAUCCAUUGAUAUUAAGGUUGUAACGAAUUUUUGAGCCUUGCAUAUUUUAUUGAACCUUGCCUUAAAAAAUGUGCAGUCAUGUUGUAUGGUUGAUCUAGGUGUUGGGUUUGGAGUAUAAUAAAAUGGUAUCAGAGUUUAGAUUAUGAUUACUAGAGAUUAUGAAAUAAAUGGUAUUAAAACUUUGGUUUGUGAUCACUAGAGAUUGUGACAGAAGUGGUAUCAGAGCAUAUAUUUAGGAUUGUUAGGAGUUGUUAUAGAAAUGAUUUGUAGGAUUUGGCAUAUAAUGAAUGUAAAAGGUUUGACAUUUCGUAUCUCAA